rnacentral:rRNA from 1 species
CCUACGGGAGGCAGCAGUGGGGAAUUUUGGACAAUGGGCGAAAGCCUGAUCCAGCAAUGCCGCGUGUGUGAAGAAGGCCUUCGGGUUGUAAANNACUUUUGUCCGGAAAGAAAUGGCUCUGGUUAAUACCUGGGGUCGAUGANGGUACCGGAAGAAUAAGGACCGGCUA